CAAUAGCCCAGGUAAGCCAGCCCUUCCUAUGUCAGAAAAUAGCCAAGGCCUAUUGACCUUAUUCCUAUGUGUUUCUGGAUCAAUCAAUACAAUUUCUGAAUCCUUAAAAUGUACAUGUUGGUGUCUUGAAGUUUCCUAUGACCUAUAGGCCGAGGGAAAUGCAUUCAUUUUGCAAUGUAUUAGCCUAUUUCUUAGGUCUAUAGAAUAUUUACUACACAAGUGAAAUAUCACCAUCAGUCAUGUCGAUUGUAUAGGAUUCCAGCGCCUUGACAGAUGCACACACACCACUGUGGUGACACGUCCCCUAUAUGACUAUCUCUGUCCCCACGUUGUGAUUCCCCUCCCCCACUCCACUUUACCGCGCAGAGCCAGAGAGGGAAAAUCACUUUCAUCUGGAGAAGCUCGUCCGUUAACACCGGGCGGCCCAUCUGCAGGUCCCCGCUGUUCCUAAAAGAAAGAUUAAGGAUUUGAGUUGGCCUGACGGAGAGAUCUUCCAGGCGACUCCGGCCCAUGGAGGAUGCAGAGCAUCACAUCAGAUCAAACAUUGAUAAACCAGUACUUUACCAGCGUUUUAUCAAUAUCUUUAAAGGACGGGGAGUUUUUGCCACUGAAUUCAUAUCCAAAGGAGACUUUGUUGUGGAGUACCGAGGUGAACUGCUUACACAACAGGAGGGCGAGGUCCUAGCUGAUCAGUACAAUGAUUCUGCAAAGGUGUUUCUUUUCGAUGUUCAAUGGAAAGGAAGAACAUGGUGCAUUGAUGCAUCUGAAGAAGACUCCUCCCUUGGGAGACUCGUUAAUGAUGAUCACUAAAGACUCAAUCUCAAAAUGAAGGCCAUACAAGCAAACGAUGAGCCACACUUGUGCCUCUUCGCGACUCGAGAUAUUGCAGCUGGCGAAGAGUUGACUUAUAGUUACGGUGAUUCAGACUGGCCAUGGAGAACACAGGUCAUCAAAACUGAAUUGUCGUCCAGCCCAAAACCAGGUAAGAACUUUACUAAAGAUCAAUAUGAGUUUCUAUCUUCACAUUUAAUAUUUCACUUUCACAAAUACACAUUUAUAGUCUAACAUCAAUUGCACUGGAAUGCAGUGCACUUGUUGCAUACAUCAAAAGUUAACUAAAUAUACAAUACAUUGAAAUAUAUGAAAUAAAAACAUUAGCAAUAAGAACUCAGUAGUUAGGCUCUUGUGGGCUCAUUUAGUAGCCCAACUCAUGAGGGAUUUGCUCUUCUCCUGAAAAGUUCAGUCCUGCAUCUGACCAGAAUAGGAUGUUCAAAACUAAACGCUACACCAGGCAUUUCCUGUGUGCUUUCUUAUACAGUAGGUCCCCAGAUGUAUACAAUGCAUUAGAUCACGCUUUUUGAUUUGAGGGGAUUUUUCAGUGUUUUAAAAAUGUUGAUUAUGUUUCAGCAUCCAGGGGUUUGUCAGUUUCUACAAAAACAGUCUCUUAGUGCAUAGAUGUCUGUGACUAUUUUGCCUGUUGGUCACAGACUGGGAGCAGAACAGGGGUGUGUCAGUUUCUACAAAAACAGUCUCUUAGUGCAGAGAUGUCUGUGACUAUUUUGCCUGUUGGUCCCAGGCUGGGAGCAGAACAGGGGCUGUGGCAGAGCAGAGCACUUAGGGGUGAAGUCCCUUGCUCAAAGGCAAAACAGCAGUAGGUAGUACACAGGGAUAUUGAAGCCGGUAACCCACCGGGCUUCAAUAUCACCGUAUACUACCUACUGCCGUUGUGCCCAUCAGCAAGGCACUUUACAACACACACAUCACAGGCUGAUAGCAGGACAGGGUCUCCAAAAAAUGAUUGUUCUACGUAAUAAUUGACUAGCACAAUACAAUAACUCCUAAUGUUUGUAUUUUUGUGUCUGCUAAGGACGACAAGUUGAUUUACGGGGGGAGGUCGGGUAAUGUAAUUAUGUGCCCGAGCACAAAACACCAUAUAUGUAAUUUUUGUCCUGUCUAAAUCUGCCAUGUCAGUCAUUUUUAAUUCCAACCAGAAUAGCCUCAUGUUUUUUGGUCUCCUGAAAGUACUAGUCCCGUGAGAAUCAACAUCACGUUUUAUUUGUCACAUGCGCCGAAUAAAACAGGUGCUGACUUACAAGCCCUUAACCAACAAUGCAGUUCAAGAAAUAGAGUUAAGAAAAUAUAUGCUAAAUAAAAUAAGUCAGAUUUUGCAGACACGUCUCCCCCCGCAUCAGUAUAGAAAGGGUCCCUAGCAAACUGCAUCAGUAUAGAAAGGGUCCCUAACAAACUGCAUCAGUAUAGAAAGGGUCCCCAGCAAACUGCAUCAGUAUAGAAAGGGUCCCUAACAAACUGCAUCAGUAUAGAAAGGGUCCCUAGCAAACUGCAUCAGUAUAGAAAGGGUCCCUAACAAACUGCAUCAGUAUAGAAAGGGUCCCUAACAAACUGCAUCAGUAUAGAAAGGGUCCCUAACAAACUGCAUCAGUAUAGAAAGGGUCCCUAACAAACUGCAUCAGUAUAGAAAGGGUCCCUAACAAACUGCAUCAGUAUAGAAAGGGUCCCUAGAAAACUGCAUCAGUAUAGAAAGGGUCCCUAGCAAACUGCAUCAGUAUAGAAAGGGUCUCUAACAAACUGCAUCAGUAUAGAAAGGGUCCCUAACAAACUGCAUCAGUAUAGAAAGGGUCCCUAACAAACUGCAUCAGUAUAGAAAGGGUCCCUAACAAACUGCAUCAGUAUAGAAAGGGUCCCUAACAAACUGCAUCAGUAUAGAAAGGGUCCCUAACAAACUGCAUCAGUAUAGAAAGGGUCUCUAGCAAACUGCAUCAGUAUAGAAAGGGUCCCUAGCAAACUGCAUCAGUAUAGAAAGGGUCCCUAACAAACUGCAUCAGUAUAGAAAGGGUCCCUAGCAAACUGCAUCAGUAUAGAAAGGGUCCCUAACAAACUGCAUCAGUAUAGAAAGGGUCUCUAGCAAACUGCAUCAGUAUAGAAAGGGUCCCUAACAAACUGCAUCAGUAUAGAAAGGGUCCCUAACAAACUGCAUCAGUAUAGAAAGGGUCUCUAGCAAACUGCAUCAGUAUAGAAAGGGUCCCUAACAAACUGCAUCAGUAUAGAAAGGGUCCCUAACAAACUGCAUCAGUAUAGAAAGGGUCUCUAACAAACUGCAUCAGUAUAGAAAGGGUCCCUAACAAACUGCAUCAGUAUAGAAAGGGUCCCUAACAAACUGCAUCAGUAUAGAAAGGGUCCCUAGCAAACUGCAUCAGUAUAGAAAGGGUCCCUAACAAACUGCAUCAGUAUAGAAAGGGUCCCUAACAAACUGCAUCAGUAUAGAAAGGGUCCCUAACAAACUGCAUCAGUAUAGAAAGGGUCCCUAGCAAACUGCAUCAGUAUAGAAAGGGUCCCUAACAAACUGCAUCAGUAUAGAAAGGGUCCCUAACAAACUGCAUCAGUAUAGAAAGGGUCCCUAGCAAACUGCAUCAGUAUAGAAAGGGUCCCUAACAAACUGCAUCAGUAUAGAAAGGGUCCCUAGCAAACUGCAUCAGUAUAGAAAGGGUCCCUAACAAACUGCAUCAGUAUAGAAAGGGUCCCUAACAAACUGCAUCAGUAUAGAAAGGGUCUCUAGCAAACUGCAUCAGUAUAGAAAGGGUCCCUAGCAAACUGCAUCAGUAUAGAAAGGGUCCCUAACAAACUGCAUCAGUAUAGAAAGGGUCCCUAACAAACUGCAUCAGUAUAGAAAGGGUCCCUAACAAACUGCAUCACCUUUGUGGGGAGACUAAAAUCAUCAAAUCUUGUUGCAAAGUUACAAUGUGUAUAUCAUUGACCGCUAGCCAGAAAUAGCCAUUUUUUUCUUCCUUCCUCGUUAUGCAGACAUCAGCACACCUGGCACCAUCGAGGUGCAGCUGUUUACUUUCUACACGGGUUGUUAUUUUUCAGUUUCGUCCUAAGAACAGAUUGUAGUGGUAAAAUAAAAAGGGAUACAUUUUUUUGGUGCCAUUUAGGUGAAAUUGAUCUCCAAGCUUCACUCCAGUCAAAACGGGCUUUGCGAGUGUUUGAUUCCAUUCAUUUGCUAUGGGCUGGCGCUAGUGCUCCAGCUUAUUUGUAUUUAAAACAACUUUUUAAACUUUUAUUUAACUCGUCAAGUCAGUUAAGAACAAAUUCUUAUUUUCAAUGACAGCCUAGGAACAGUGGGAUAAUUGCCUUGUUCAGGGGCAGAAUGACAGAUUUUUACCUUGUCAGCUCGGGGAUUCAAUCUUGCAACCUUUCGGUUACUAGUCCAACGCUCUAACCACUAGGCUACCUGCCUCCCCAGCUUAGCCAACGUUUGCUUGCCAUUUUUCUUCCUUGACCUUUUCCAUUGUCCAGCCUAGCC